rnacentral:lncRNA from 1 species
AUGAUUUGGAAUCCUAUGACCCAUAAUGACACCUUACGACUUAUAUGGUGAGUCGUAGGUUGGGCAAUAAGCUCAAAAUCAAGGAAUUUUCCAAGGACUAAAAUCCCGAGUGUUAUAUUCUCCCCUCACCCCCCACCCCCUAAAGGAUUAUUCAUCCUAAAAUGAUGAGUCAUAGGAUCCAUUAGCAUGAUUUCAAUACAGAACACAAC